rnacentral:rRNA from 1 species
UCGGCAACGGAUAUCUCGGCUCUCGCAUCGAUGAAGAACGUAGCGAAAUGCGAUACCUGGUGUGAAUUGCAGAAUCCGUGAACCAUCGAGUCUUUGAACGCAAGUUGCGCCCGAAGCCAUUAGGCUGAGGGCACGUCUGCCUGGGCGUCAC